rnacentral:rRNA from 1 species
GUGUCAGCAGCCGCGGUAAUACGGGGGGAGCAAGCGUUGUUCGGAUUUACUGGGCGUAAAGGGCGCGUAGGCGGCCAGCGCAAGUCAGUUGUGAAAUCUCCGGGCUUAACUCGGAAAGGUCAACUGAUACUGCGCGGCUAGAGUGCAGAAGGGGCAACUGGAAUUCUCGGUGUAGCGGUGAAAUGCGUAGAUAUCGAGAGGAACACCUGCGGCGAAGGCGGGUUGCUGGGCUGACACUGACGCUGAUGCGCGAAAGCCAGGGGAGCGAACGGGAUUAGAUACCCUCGUAGUCC